UAGCUAGUUGGUGAGGUAAAGGCUCACCAAGGCGACGAUCUGUAGCGGGUCUGAGAGGAUGAUCCGCCACACUGGAACUGAGACACGGUCCUGACUCCUACGGGAGGCAGCAGUGGGGAAUUUUGGACAAUGGGGGCAACCCUGAUCCAGCCAUGCCGCGUGAGUGAAGAAGGCCUUCGGGUUGUAAAGCUCUUUCGGCCGGGAAAAAAUCGCAUGGGUUAAUACCCUGUGUGGAUGAUGGUACCGGAAUAAGAAGCACCGGCUAACUACGUGCCAGCAGCCGCGGUAAUACGUAGGGUGCGAGCGUUAAUCGGAAUUACUGGGCGUAAAGCGUGCGCAGGCGGUUUUGUAAGACAGGCGUGAAAUCCCCGGGCUCAACCUGGGAACUGCGCUUGUGACUGCAAGGCUAGAGUACGGCAGAGGGGGGUGGAAUUCCACGUGUAGCAGUGAAAUGCGUAGAGAUGUGGAGGAACACCAAUGGCGAAGGCAGCCCCCUGGGUCGAUACUGACGCUCAUGCACGAAAGCGUGGGUAGCAAACAGGAUUAGAUACCCUGGUAGUCCACGCCCUAAACGAUGUCAACUAGGUGUUGGGUGGGUAAAACCAUUUAGUACCGUAGCUAACGCGAGAAGUUGACCGCCUGGGGAGUACGGCCGCAAGGUUAAAACUCAAAGGAAUUGACGGGGACCCGCACAAGCGGUGGAUGAUGUGGAUUAAUUCGAUGCAACGCGAAAAACCUUACCUACCCUUGACAUGUCCAGGAGCCCGAAGAGAUUUGGGUGUGCUCGAAAGAGAGCUGGAACACAGGUGCUGCAUGGCUGUCGUCAGCUCGUGUCGUGAGAUGUUGGGUUAAGUCCCGCAACGAGCGCAACCCUUGUCGUUAAUUGCCAUCAUUCAGUUGGGCACUUUAACGAGACUGCCGGUGACAAACCGGAGGAAGGUGGGGAUGACGUCAAGUCCUCAUGGCCCUUAUGGUAGGGCUUCACACGUCAUACAAUGGUCGGUACAAAGGGUUGCCAACCCGCGAGGGGGAGCUAAUCCCAUAAAGCCGAUCGUAGUCCGGAUCGCAGGCUGCAACUCGCCUGCGUGAAGUCGGAAUCGCUAGUAAUCGUGGAUCAGCAUGUCACGGUGAAUACGUUCCCGGGUCUUGUACACACCGCCCGUCACACCAUGGGAGCGGGUUCCGCCAGAAGUAGGUAGCCUAACCGCAAGGGGGGCGCUUACCACGGCGGGGUUCGUGACUGGGGUGAGGUCGGAACAAGGUAGCCGUAGGGGAACCUGCGGCUG
rnacentral:rRNA from 1 species